rnacentral:rRNA from 1 species
UACGUAGGGUGCGAGCGUUGUCCGGAAUUAUUGGGCGUAAAGAGCUCGUAGGCGGUCUGUCGCGUCGGUCGUGAAAACUUGGGGCUUAACCCUGAGCUUGCGGUCGAUACGGGCAUGACUGGAGUUCGGUAGGGGAGACUGGAAUUCCUGGUGUAGCGGUGAAAUGCGCAGAUAUCAGGAGGAACACCGGUGGCGAAGGCGGGUCUCUGGGCCGAUACUGACGCUAAGGCGCGAAAGCGUGGGGAGCGAACAGG